rnacentral:tRNA from 2 species
GGUGUAGCUCAGUUGGUUAGAGCGUCAGAUUGUGGCUCUGAAGGCCGUGGGUUCGACUCCCAUCAC